GAUGAACGCUGGCGGCGUGCUUAACACAUGCAAGUCGAACGAAGCACUUUAUUUGAUUUCCUUCGGGACUGAUUAUUUUGUGACUGAGUGGCGGACGGGUGAGUAACGCGUGGGUAACCUGCCUUGUACAGGGGGAUAACAGUUGGAAACGGCUGCUAAUACCGCAUAAGCGCACGGCAUCGCAUGAUGCAGUGUGAAAAACUCCAGUGGUAUAAGAUGGACCCGCGUUGGAUUAGCUAGUUGGUGAGGUAACGGCCCACCAAGGCGACGAUCCAUAGCCGACAUGAGAGGGUGACCGGCCACAUUGGGACUGAGACACGGCCCAAACUCCUACGGGAGGCAGCAGUGGGGAAUAUUGCACAAUGGGCGAAAGCCUGAUGCAGCGACGCCGCGUGAGCGAAGAAGUAUUUCGGUAUGUAAAGCUCUAUCAGCAGGGAAGAUAAUGACGGUACCUGACUAAGAAGCACCGGCUAAAUACGUG
rnacentral:rRNA from 1 species